rnacentral:rRNA from 1 species
CCUACGGGAGGCAGCAGUGGGGAAUAUUGCGCAAUGGGCGAAAGCCUGACGCAGCGACGCCGCGUGAGGGAUGAAGGUCUUCGGAUCGUAAACCUCUGUCAGCAGGGAAGAACGGUCACUGUGCUAAUCAGCAGUGAAUUGACGGUACCUGCAAAGGAAGCACCGGCUAACUCCGUGCCAGCAGCCGCGGUAAUACGGAGGGUGCGAGCGUUAAUCGGAAUUACUGGGCGUAAAGCGCUCGUAGGCGGUAUGUCAAGUCAAGGGUGAAAUCCCCGCGCUCAACGUGGGAACUGCCUUUUAAUCUGGCAAACUGGAGUGUGUGAGAGGAUAGUGGAAUUCCAGGUGGAGGAGUGAAAGCCGUAGAUAUCUGGAGGAACAUCAGUGGCGAAGGCGACUAUCUGGCACAUAACUGACGCUGAGGAGCGAAAGCGUGGGUAGCAAACAGGAUUAGAUACCCCAGUAGUC